rnacentral:rRNA from 1 species
GGUUGAUCCUGCCAGUAGUCAUAUGCUUGUCUCAAAGAUUAAGCCAUGCAUGUCUAAGUAUAAGCAAUUAUACAGUGAAACUGCGAAUGGCUCAUUAAAUCAGUUAUCGUUUAUUUGAUAGUUCCUUUUACUACAAGGAUAACCGUGGUAAAUCUAGAGCUAAUACUUGCUAAAAAGCCCGACCUCACGGAAGGGUUGUAUUUAUUAGAUAAAAAAUCAUCGCCUUCGGGCUGCUUGGUGAUUCAUAAUAACUUUUCGAAGCGCAUGGCUUUAGUGCUGGCGCUGGUUCAUU